rnacentral:rRNA from 1 species
GAUGAACGCUGGCGGCGUGCCUAACACAUGCAAGUCGAGCGAAGCACUUACUUUAGAUUUCUUCGGAAUGACGAAGUUUGUGACUGAGCGGCGGACGGGUGAGUAACGCGUGGGCAACCUGCCCUGUACAGGGGGAUAACAGUUAGAAAUGACUGCUAAUACCGCAUAAGCCCUCAGCUUCGCAUGAAGCAGUGGGAAAAACUCCGGUGGUACAGGAUGGGCCCGCGUCUGAUUAGCUAGUUGGUAAGGUAACGGCUUACCAAGGCGACGAUCAGUAGCCGACCUGAGAGGGUGACCGGCCACAUUGGGACUGAGACACGGCCCAAACUCCUACGGGAGGCAGCAGUGGGGAAUAUUGCACAAUGGGGGAAACCCUGAUGCAGCGACGCCGCGUGAGCGAUGAAGUAUUUCGGUAUGUAAAGCUCUAUCAGCAGGGAAGAAAGUGACGGUACCUGACGAAGAAGCCCCGGCUAACUACGUG